GACGAAGGGGGCUAGCGUUGUUCGGAAUUACUGGGCGUAAAGCGAGUGUAGGUGGUUGUCCAAGUUGGAUGUGAAAGCCUUGAGCUCAACUCGAGAAAUGCAUUCAGGACUGGAUGGCUAGAGGACCGGAGAGGAUAGUGGAAUUCCCAGUGUAGUGGUGAAAUACGUAGAGAUUGGGAAGAACACCAGUGGCGAAGGCGGCUAUCUGGACGGUUUCUGACACUAAGACUCGAAAGCGCGGGGAGCAAACAGG
rnacentral:rRNA from 1 species